UACGUAGGUGGCAAGCGUUGUCCGGAAUUAUUGGGCGUAAAGCGCGCGCAGGUGGUUCCUUAAGUCUGAUGUGAAAGCCCACGGCUCAACCGUGGAGGGUCAUUGGAAACUGGGGGACUUGAGUACAGAAGAGGAAAGCGGAAUUCCACGUGUAGCGGUGAAAUGCGUAGAGAUGUGGAGGAACACCAGUGGCGAAGGCGGCUUUCUGGUCUGUAACUGACGCUGAGGCGCGAAAGCGUGGGGAGCAAACAGG
rnacentral:rRNA from 1 species